AAGCCCGUGGUGGCAGAGCAGAACAGGCAGCACAACCAAAUGAGCUCAAAGGCCCAAUCAGCCGUUUCACUGACUCUGCUGAAUGCACAGGGUAUCGCAGAAACUUCUAGAACCUUCCAGACCAGCCGACGGUUAACUAUUUUGUCUGUGGUCGGGGACUCUAAGAGCCGAGUUCAUUUAGCAAAGUAAAGACCUUCUGAGCCUGUUAAGUCAACGGGAAUGGAGACAGAACUGCUCACUAGACCACCUGGUGAGGAAGUCCUCCAGGGAGGGCCCAUGACUGCCCUUCCUUCUCAGACAAUCCGAAGACGCUUCUCAGACCUCGAGGCCAUAGGAGGGAAUCCUUCCGGAUUUAAACAUGUAAAACGAGGUCUCUCCUUGCAAGGAUUUUGGCAUCCAUCAGAGCAAACAAAUCAGCAACGGGCAGCAAGGGAAACAAACAUGAAACCAACAGCAAGCCAUGUAAAUAGGCAUGAAGUUCAUUUUCUACAUGCGAUUUAAUGAUGCAAGGACGAACAAAUUAUUCUGGCGAUGGAGCAGGAGCGGAGAUGAGAGAAACAUCUCUCUGGACCAGCUACCACCAGGCACAAUCCAGGAGGCCCCCGCACAAACAGCCUGAUGCUGACAGACCAUUACGGAUACGACAAAGCCACGCAUGAGAUCUCAUCUCCCCAUGCUGUACCACCCCUCCUUUUCUACUGCUUCCAGGCUCUUGAUUAGUUUUUCUGAAACUAUUUUAGGGUUCCUGUGACUACUCUUCUUUACUCUUAAGCUUUUAGAAGGAAGUCAGGCAAUUAAAUGUGCAGAGCUAUUAUUA